rnacentral:rRNA from 1 species
GUGUCAGCAGCCGCGGUAAUACAGAGGGUGCAAGCGUUGUUCGGAAUUAUUGGGCGUAAAGCGCGUGUAGGCGGCUUUGCAAGUCGGGUGUGAAAGCCCUCGGCUCAACCGAGGAAGUGCGCCCGAAACUGCAGAGCUUGAGUACCGGAGAGGAUGGCGGAAUUCCCCAAGUAGAGGUGAAAUUCGUAGAUAUGGGGAGGAACACCGGUGGCGAAGGCGGCCAUCUGGACGGAUACUGACGCUGAGACGCGAAAGCGUGGGUAGCAAACAGGAUUAGAUACCCUGGUAGUCC